rnacentral:rRNA from 1 species
AGGAUCAACGCUGGCGGCGUGCAUGAGACAUGCAAGUCGAACGGACGAACGAAGCUUGCUUUGUUCGUUAGUGGCGGACGGCUGAGUAACGCGUGGGUGACCUGCCCCGAAGUGGGGAAUAACUGCCCGAAAGGGUGGCUAAUACCGCAUGUGGUGGUGCGUUCAAUCGCACCAGUAAAGCCGCAAGGCGCUUCGGGAGGGGCCUGCGUCCGAUUAGCUCGUUGGUGGGGUAACGGCUCACCAAGGCGACGAUCGGUAGGUGGUCUGAGAGGACGAUCACCCAGACUGGGACUGAGACACGGCCCAGACUCCUACGGGAGGCAGCAGUCGGGAAUUUUGCGCAAUGGACGAAAGUCUGACGCAGCAACGCCGCGUGAGGGAUGAAGGCCUUCGGGUUGUAAAGCUCUUUCGCGCGCGACGAUAAUGACGGUAGCGUGAGAAGAAGCCCGGCUAACUUCGUGCCAGCAGCCGC